rnacentral:rRNA from 1 species
GAUGAACGCUGGCGGCGUGCCUAAUACAUGCAAGUCGAGCGAACUGAUUAGAAGCUUGCUUCUAUGACGUUAGCGGCGGACGGGUGAGUAACACGUGGGCAACCUGCCUGUAAGACUGGGAUAACUUCGGGAAACCGAAGCUAAUACCGGAUAGGAUCUUCUCCUUCAUGGGAGAUGAUUGAAAGAUGGUUUCGGUUAUCACUUACAGAUGGGCCCGCGGUGCAUUAGCUAGUUGGUGAGGUAACGGCCCACCAAGGCAACGAUGCAUAGCCGACCUGAGAGGGUGAUCGGCCACACUGGGACUGAGACACGGCCCAGACUCCUACGGGAGGCAGCAGUAGGGAAUCUUCCGCAAUGGACGAAAGUCUGACGGAGCAACGCCGCGUGAGUGAUGAAGGCUUUCGGGUCGUAAAACUCUGUUGUUAGGGAAGAACAAGUACAAGAGUAACUGCUUGUACCUUGACGGUACCUAACCAGAAAGCCACGGCUAACUACGUGCCAGCCGCCGCAGUAACAC